UAGUCAAGGAGUUGAUUGCUGG
rnacentral:miRNA from 1 species